rnacentral:ncRNA from 2 species
GGCCGCGGUCGUGACUGGCGCAGGUGGGUGCAACCACCGGGGAGCGGCCGCAGUGCCCCCGCCGAGCACCGCCCGCCUGGGUGCCUGGG